rnacentral:misc_RNA from 1 species
UAAGAUGAAGGUACUCGAUCAACAGAUCGCGCCGCCUCGGCCGGUCCCCCAGCAGAAGCUCGAUCUCAUGCGCCGCCGUCGGAUCGAUCUGCCUGCCCUUCUGGGUCGCCUUGGCCCGCCGCCGGCCCUCGCCAGGAUGAUCGAAUGGCUGAACUUUCAGGACGUUAUGGCUCAUUCGAAUAUCUCAUUUCCGGUGUUUCGAGCCCGAACGAUAGCUUCUGGCAUUCAGUAUGCCAAGAAUUAUUCUAUUCAAGGACCAGAUAGUUGCAUUCAGGAAUCGUAACGCGCGCUAUACCCGCCGAUCGUCGGCAUCCCUGGCAAUAUGAAAUCGAGUUCAGGUAGCGGUGGNGCCGAGCGAAACCGGGUGCUGCCAACAGGCUCAUCUGGCCCGUGUCUCAGCGGAUACCGGG